AUAACCCAAUUAUGCCGACUGUGCUCUUUUCCCCACGGGGGCCCGAUGUCCAGUGGCUGCAAACAGCAGCCUCCUCGGUAGUGUGUGCAGCCUGUUGCCUGUAUGGAUUGCCCUAAGGGACCUUGGAUUCAGCC
ensembl:snoRNA SNORA70 Small nucleolar RNA SNORA70